UCAGGCCUAACACAUGCAAGUCGAGCGGAAACGAGUUAUCUGAACCCUCGGGGAACGAUAACGGCGUCGAGCGGCGGACGGGUGAGUAAUGCCUAGGAAAUUGCCCUGAUGUGGGGGAUAACCAUUGGAAACGAUGGCUAAUACCGCAUGAUGCCUACGGGCCAAAGAGGGGGACCUUCGGGCCUCUCGCGUCAGGAUAUGCCUAGGUGGGAUUAGCUAGUUGGUGCGGUAAGGGCUCACCAAGGCGACGAUCCCUAGCUGGUCUGAGAGGAUGAUCAGCCACACUGGAACUGAGACACGGUCCAGACUCCUACGGGAGGUAGCAGUGGGGAAUAUUGCACAAUGGGCGCAAGCCUGAUGCAGCCAUGCCGCGUGUGUGAAGAAGGCCUUCGGGUUGUAAAGCACUUUCAGUCGUGAGGAAGGUAGUGUAGUUAAUAGCUGCAUUAUUUGACGUUAGCGACAGAAGAAGCACCGGCUAACUCCGUGCCAGCAGCCGCGGUAAUACGGAGGGUGCGAGCGUUAAUCGGAAUUACUGGGCGUAAAGCGCAUGCAGGUGGUUUGUUAAGUCAGAUGUGAAAGCCCGGGGCUCAACCUCGGAAUAGCAUUUGAAACUGGCAGACUAGAGUACUGUAGAGGGGGGUAGAAUUUCA
rnacentral:rRNA from 1 species